ensembl:lncRNA
CCCAUUGCUGUCUGUGUGCACAGCAAUAUCCUCCAGUGCAGGGCUGAUCUUUGGUCUGUGCUUGAAACAAACACCAUAGUGAGGGGAACUGUAGAUGGGAGAACAGCAGAGUGUGAAGUGUGAGACCCGCUGUGCAAAUGGGAUUUGUCACUAUGAGCACUGUGAUGAAAGCACCCUGGAGAAACUGACUCUUGAGAAAUGGUUUUUGCAUGUCCAAGUGGGAAAGGGACAGGUGGGAUGGCAAAUGGGAGCCCAAGGGAAGGGGGUCCCCAUGGAAAAGGGGUGCCCAGCACUCACACUGGAUUUCUCCAUAGUCGGUGGCUUGCACCUGCUGGCUGGGAACGUGCUGCUGCCUGUGGAU